GAACGCUGGCGGCAGGCUUAACACAUGCAAGUCGAGCGGAAACGAAGGUAGCUUGCUACCAGGCGUCGAGCGGCGGACGGGUGAGUAAUGCUUAGGAAUCUACCGAGUAGUGGGGGAUAGCCAUUGGAAACGAUGAUUAAUACCGCAUAUAUCCUACGGGGGAAAGCAGGGGACCUUCGGGCCUUGCGCUAUUCGAUGAGCCUGAGUGAGAUUAGCUAGUUGGUGGGGUAAAGGCCUACCAAGGCGACGAUCUCUAGCUGGUCUGAGAGGAUGAUCAGCCACACUGGGACUGAGACACGGCCCAGACUCCUACGGGAGGCAGCAGUGGGGAAUAUUGCACAAUGGACGAAAGUCUGAUGCAGCCAUGCCGCGUGUGUGAAGAAGGCCUUCGGGUUGUAAAGCACUUUCAGCGAGGAGGAAAGGUCAGUAAGUAAUAUUUGCUGGCUGUGACGUUACUCGCAGAAGAAGCACCGGCUAAUUUAGUGCCAGCAGCCGCGGUAAUACUAAAGGUGCAAGCGUUAAUCGGAAUUACUGGGCGUAAAGCGCGCGUAGGUGGUUUGUUAAGUUGGAUGUGAAAGCCCAGGGCUCAACCUUGGAACUGCAUUCAAAACUGACUCACUAGAGUACGAGAGAGGUUAGUGGAAUUUCCUGUGUAGCGGUGAAAUGCGUAGAGAUGGGAAGGAACACCAGUGGCGAAGGCGACUGACUGGCUCGAUACUGACACUGAGUGCGAAAGCGUGGGG
rnacentral:rRNA from 1 species